rnacentral:rRNA from 1 species
AGUGAACGCUGGCGGUAGGCCUAACACAUGCAAGUCGAACGGCAGCACAGUAAGAGCUUGCUCUUACGGGUGGCGAGUGGCGGACGGGUGAGGAAUACAUCGGAAUCUACUUUUUCGUGGGGGAUAACGUAGGGAAACUUACGCUAAUACCGCAUACGACCUACGGGUGAAAGCAGGGGAUCUUCGGACCUUGCGCGAUUGAAUGAGCCGAUGUCGGAUUAGCUAGUUGGCGGGGUAACGGCCCACCAAGGCGACGAUCCGUAGCUGGUCUGAGAGAAUGAUCAGCCACACUGGAACUGAGACACGAGCCAGACUCCUACGGGAGGCAGCAGUAGGGAAUAUUGGACAAUGGGCGCAAGCCUGAUCCAGCCAUACCGCGUGGGUGAAGAAGGCCUUCGGGUUGUAAAGCCCUUUUGUUGGGAAAGAAAAGCAGCAGGUUAAUACCCCGCUGUUCUGACGGUACCCAAAGAAUAAGCACCGGCUAACUUCGUG